rnacentral:rRNA from 1 species
AGACCCGAAACCCGGUGAUCUAGCCAUGGGCAGGUUGAAGGUUGGGUAACACUAACUGGAGGACCGAACCGACUAAUGUUGAAAAAUUAGCGGAUGACCUGUGGCUGGGGGUGAAAGGCCAAUCAAACCGGGAGAUAGCUGGUUCUCCCCGAAAGCUAUUUAGGUAGCGCCUCGUGAAUUCAUCUCCGGGGGUAGAGCACUGUUUCGGCUAGGGGGCCAUCCCGGCUUACCAACCCGAUGCAAACUGCGAAUACCGGAGAAUGUUAUCACGGGAGACACACGGCGGGUGCUAACGUCCGUCGUGAAGAGGGAAACAACCCAGACCGCCAGCUAAGGUCCCAAAGUCAUGGUUAAGUGGGAAACGAUGUGGGAAGGCCCAGACAGCCAGGAUGUUGGCUUAGAAGCAGCCAUCAUUUAAAGAAAGCGUAAUAGCUCACUGGUCGAGUCGGCCUGCGCGGAAGAUGUAACGGGGCUAAACCAUGCACCGAAGCUGCGGCAGCGACACUCAGGUGUCGUUGGGUAGGGGAGCGUUCUGUAAGCCUGCGAAGGUGGCCUGUGAGGGUUGCUGGAGGUAUCAGAAGUGCGAAUGCUGACAUAAGUAACGAUAAAGCGGGUGAAAAGCCCGCUCGCCGGAAGACCAAGGGUUCCUGUCCAACGUUAAUCGGGGCAGGGUGAGUCGACCCCUAAGGCGAGGCCGAAAGGCGUAGUCGAUGGGAAACGGGUUAAUAUUCCCGUACUUGGUGUUACUGCGAAGGGGGGACGGAGAAGGCUAUGUUGGCCGGGCGACGGUUGUCCCGGUUUAAGCGUGUAGGUGUGUGUUCCAGGUAAAUCCGGUUCACUUUAAC